rnacentral:lncRNA from 1 species
AAAAAGAAAGAAAAGAAUAACAUUGUUUUGAUUGUUCAAAGCUUCAUAGUUCAUAGAACAAAAGGUGAGAGAUGAAAGAAGAUUGUUAACGAAUAUGGUUUGAACCAAAGGAUAAUGUUGUUUGACUCCAAAAAGGGAUGGAAUCUGAACCCAAGAGGAAAACUGGAACGAACCAAUAUGUGGGGAGCCUGAGGCAUGGUGCCACUAUAUCGUGGGGCCGGAAAUAAAGGAAAUUAAGUGUUU